GACGAACGCUGGCGGCGUGCUUAACACAUGCAAGUCGAACGGUGAAGCGCCUUCCUUUUUGGUGGGUGUGGAUGAGUGGCGAACGGGUGAGUAACACGUGAGUAACCUGCCCCCUUCUUCUGGAUAACCGCAUGAAAGUGUGGCUAAUACGGGAUAUUCUGGGUCUGUCGCAUGAUGGGUCUGGGAAAGAUAUUGUUUCGGUGGGGGAUGGGCUCGCGGCCUAUCAGCUUGUUGGUGGGGUGAUGGCCUACCAAGGCGGUGACGGGUAGCCGGCCUGAGAGGGUGGACGGUCACACUGGGACUGAGACACGGCCCAGACUCCUACGGGAGGCAGCAGUGGGGAAUAUUGCACAAUGGGCGCAAGCCUGAUGCAGCGACGCCGCGUGAGGGAGGGAGGCCUUCGGGUUGUGAACCUCUUUCGCCAGUGAAGCAGGCCUGCCUCGUUUGUGGGUGGGUUGACGGUAGCUGGAUAAGAAGCGCCGGCUAACUACGUG
rnacentral:rRNA from 1 species